rnacentral:rRNA from 1 species
UGUAGCAAUACAGAUGGCGCACGGCGCACGGGUGCGUAACACGUGGGUAAUCUGCCCUUCGAAGGGGAAUAACUCGCCGAAAGGCGAGCUAAUUCCGCAUAACAUUCCGAGAACCUUGGUUUUUGGAUUCAAAGGCGUAAGUCGUCGGAGGAGGAGCCCGCGCACGAUUAGCUAGUUGGUAGGGUAACGGCCUACCAAGGCUAUGAUCGUUAGCUGGUCUGAGAGGAUGGCCAGCCACACUGGAACUGAGACACGGUCCAGACUCCUACGGGAGGCAGCAGUGGGGAAUCUUGCACAAUGGGCGAAAGCCUGAUGCAGCGACGCCGCGUGGGGGAUGAAGCUUCUCGGAGUGUAAACCCCUUUCGACCCGGACGAAUGCCCCGCAAGGGGACUGACGGUACGGGUAUAAGAAGCCCCGGCUAACUACGUGCCAGCAGCCGCGGUAAGACGUAGGGGGCCAGCGUUGCUCGGAAUUACUGGGUGUAAAGGGUUCGUAGGCGGUGUGGCAAGUCGGGAGUGAAAUCUCUGGGCUCAACCCAGAGUCUGCUUGCGAAACUGCCGUGCUUGAGUGUGGGAGAGGCGCGUGGAAUUGCAGGUGUAGCGGUGAAAUGCGUAGAUAUCUGCAGGAACACCCGUGGCGAAAGCGGCGCGCUGGACCACUACUGACGCUGAGGAACGAAAGCUAGGGGAGCAAACAGGAUUAGAUACCCUGGUAGUCCUAGCCCUAAGCGAUCAGGACUUGGGGUGCCACCCGUUCGGGUGUCGUCCCGGAGCUAACGCGUUAAGUCCUGCACCUGGGGAGUACGGUCGCAAGACUG